UACCACAGCCAUCUCAUCCUGCAGCACGACCAGUUACUUACUGAAGCUAAGCAGGGCUGAGCCUGGUUAGUGGAUGGGAGACCACAUGGGAAAACUAGGUUGCUGUUGGAA
rnacentral:rRNA from 1 species